rnacentral:rRNA from 1 species
UACGGAGGGUGCAAGCGUUAUCCGGAUUCACUGGGUUUAAAGGGUGCGUAGGAGGGCAGGUAAGUCAGUGGUGAAAUCCCCGAGCUUAACUUGGGAACUGCCGUUGAUACUAUCUGUCUUGAAUAUUGUGGAGGUAAGCGGAAUAUGUCAUGUAGCGGUGAAAUGCUUAGAUAUGACAUAGAACACCCAUUGCGAAGGCAGCUUACUACGCCUAUAUUGACGCUGAGGCACGAAAGCGUGGGGAUCAAACAGG